rnacentral:rRNA from 1 species
UGGGGAAUCUUGGACAAUGGGGGCAACCCUGAUCCAGCCAUGCCGCGUGAGUGAAGAAGGUCUUCGGAUUGUAAAGCUCUUUUGCCAGGGACGAUAAUGACGGUACCUGGAGAAUAAGCCCCGGCAAACUUCGUGCCAGCAGCCGCGGUAAUACGAAGGGGGCUAGCGUUGUUCGGAAUUACUGGGCGUAAAGCGCACGUAGGCGGGUGGUUAAGUUAGGGGUGAAAUCCCGGAGCUCAACUCCGGAACUGCCUUUGAUACUGGCCAUCUAGAGAUCGGAAGAGGUGAGUGGAAUUCCCAGUGUAGAGGUGAAAUUCGUAGAUAUUGGGAAGAACACCGGUGGCGAAGGCGGCUCACUGGUCCGAUACUGACGCUGAGGUGCGAAAGCGUGGGGAGCAAACAGG